UACGUAGGGUGCAAGCGUUGUCCGGAAUUAUUGGGCGUAAAGAGCUCGUAGGCGGUUUGUCGCGUCUGCUGUGAAAACUCGGGGCUCAACCCCGAGCUUGCAGUGGGUACGGGCAGACUAGAGUGCGGUAGGGGAGACUGGAAUUCCUGGUGUAGCGGUGGAAUGCGCAGAUAUCAGGAGGAACACCGGUGGCGAAGGCGGGUCUCUGGGCCGUAACUGACGCUGAGGAGCGAAAGCAUGGGGGAGCGAACAGG
rnacentral:rRNA from 1 species